UCAACACCAAAUCCCAAACGGUGUCUUCGCUUUUCACGUUCAGCUCGUCGGCUCCGAUUAAAGUCGUUAGCUCUUCAAUCGGCAAAUCGAGGAUUUCCUCGCUCCGUUGAGCUACCUAUAUCAAUUAGAUAUGUCACGUGAUGAGCCUUCUAAACCAACAUGUCGCAUCGUGUCACGUGAUGUGUUUUGCCUAAUUUAGCAGUGGGGAUAUUGUGAUGUCACAUAUUUUUUUACGAGGAAAUUCACAUAGUUACUUUUAGUGGUAAAGGAAAUAUCAAUUAGGCGCCAGAUUUUGUUUCAAAUAUUCGCAGCAGAAAUCGAGAACACCUAGGAUAUUCAAAUAAUCGGCAGUGACCAACAACUGGCACACGUUCUCAUUGUUCACAUUGAUCGAUCUCAAGUAAGCGUAUUCGAGAAGCAGAUUCAUCAUGUUGCUGCUGACACCAGAUUUUUAAAGAUAUAAAAUAUUUUGAAGAAUAUAAGGAUAUAAAAGAUAAAAGGAUAUAAAAUAUAAAACUUUUGUUUAAGCGUUUAAUAAAGAGUUAAAGUUUUUAUAAAGAGAAAAUGUCAUUCAAGGCAUAGAUUGAACUCAUACUAGACAAGACCUAAAAUAUGGACUGCAAGCUGAUAAAAUGGCCCGGUGA